rnacentral:rRNA from 1 species
UGCGACUGAACCGGGAAAAGCCCAGCGCAUAACCUCGUGUUCUAAACCGGCACGAGGGGUGUUGCGUUUCGGAGGGUCCGGACCGCCGUGCCAUACCGUCUAAGUCAAGCAUGAAGGCGGCCACUACCCAUGGAGGGUGAUAGGCCCGUGUGGCGGAUCCCGUGAGGGCAUACUUGGCACGGUCGGAAAAGGGCCUCUCCGUAGAGUCGGGUUGCUUGAAAGUGCAGCCCAAAGAAGGUGGUAAACUCCAUCUAAGGCUAAAUAUGACCACGAGACCGAUAGCGAACAAGUACCGUGAGGGAAAGUUGAAAAGAACUUUGAAGAGAGAGUUCAAGAGUACGUGAAACCGUUAAGAGCCAAACGGAUGGAACCUUGAAGGUCGAACUGGGGGAUUCAGCUCGCCGGCAAGCAUAGACAGUUUCGAGGGAGGUCAGUUAUCUGGCUAGCGACCCAAGACUGCUUGGGCGCGUAUCCGGGUAAACUCUGUCGUCGGCGGGCGUAUUUCGCCUAUAGUAGGGCGCCGCGACCCGUCGCUGGGGACGUCGAAGGCCCGGUCGGACUGGUACCCUGCCUUCGAACCAGGCGUCAUCGCCCUCCCUUUGCGGAGUUUGGCGAGGGGGUAGGCGAAACCGCCGGUGUGACAUUACCUGACUGCCCUGCGACGGUCGUAGACAGAGGAGCAUCGCUAGACGAUGCUGCUGCUCUGCGCGGCGUGCAAAAAGAUCGGUGAUCCAUCCGCCCCGUCUUGAAACACGGACCAAGGAGUCUAACAUGUGUGCGAGUCACUGGGCGAACUAAACCCAAAGGCGCAAUGAAAGUAACCACAGGUGUCCGGCUUCCUCAUGACGGUUGCCGGACGGAACCUGCUGGGCCGAUCCCUUGGCCGGAUGCCUCUGUCAAUUUAGAUCGCAAUGACUUGUGCAUGCUGAGGAGAUGUGUUCCGAGGCUUUUCUGCGUCGUGGUUGUGGUCGGUUGGCAGUAGUGCGAAGGCGAAUAAUCCUGUUCGCAGGGGGGCGCAGGCCCGGGACUUGCCAGGACAGCCGCCGACGAUAGGCCAGCGGCCGUCGGCUUGGUUUUGGAGCUCUGCUCCGGCCGAGCUGUGGUCGGUCAUUAGAAGGCUUUGAGAGUCGGCAAGUACCAUGAGCAGACACGUUAGUACCCGAAAGAUGGUGAACUAUGCCUGGCCAGGAUGAAGCCAGAGGAAACUCUGGUGGAGGUCCGCAGCGAUUCUGACGUGCAAAUCGAUCGUCUGAGCUGGGCAUAGGGGCGAAAGACUAAUCGAACCAUCUAGUAGCUGGUUCCCUCUGAAGUUUCCCUCAGGAUAGCUGGAACUCGCACGAUGAAUUUCAUCCGGUAAAGCGAAUGAUUAGAGGUCUUGGGGACGAAACGUCCUCAACCUAUUCUCAAACUUUAAAUGGGUGAGAUGCCAAGCUUGCUUAAACGCUGCUGCUGUUGCUGCUGCUGAAGCUUCGGCGACUAAUCUGAGUAUCUAGUGGGCUAUUUUUGGUAAGCAGAACUGGCGCUGUGGGAUGAACCAAACGUCGAGUUAAGGGGCCUAAAUGAAUGUUCAUGAAGAUCCCAUCGAAAGGCGUUGGUUGCUAUAGACAGCAGGACGGUGGCCAUGGAAGUUGGAAUCCGCUAAGGAGUGUGUAACAACUCACCUGCCGAAGCAACUAACCCUGAAAAUGGUAUGGCGCUCAAGCAUUCUCCCGAUACUCGACCGCCGGGGCAUUAGCGGCCACGCUCCUUUUGAAGGGCGAGUGUCUCGAAGCCCCGGUGAGUAAGAGGGUCGCGGUGGUGAGCGCUGAAGGGGUCCGGCGUGAGCCGGCCUGGAGCCUCCACUGGUGCAGAUCUUGGUGGUAGUAGCAAAUAUUCAAGAGAGACUCCCCUUGAAGGCCGAGGAGGAGAAGGGUUCCAUGUGAACAUCAGUUGGACAUGGGUUAGUCGCCCCUAAGCCCAAGGCGAAAGCCUGAUUCCACGCUAGCGGCAACGGCCACAUACAUACAUGUAUGUCCGACCCUAGCGUGUGUGCCCGCCGUUAAAAUGUUAGGGGCGGGCACCAGCUCCUCUCCCUGUAGAAAAGAGAGUGGAUGCCCGGGAUCAGUGGCGAAAGGGAAUACGGUACUUAUUCCGUAACCUGGACUCGGAUAAAAAACACAAGCAGGCGGCAGGCAGCUUGUAAUAAUGCUGUGUGUUGUGUGCCCUGUUUGAGGAGGACCCUGGUAACGGGAACCAUCUCGCGCCCGCCGGCAGUGGUCCGGGAAAGAGUUUUCUUUUCUGUUUAAGGCGCCGUGACCCUGGAAGCCACUCGCAGAGAGAAAGGGGAUUGGUAACACGGUUAGCCGUAGAGCGCCGCGAUUCUUGCGGCGUCCCGCGUGCCAUUGCCGGUCCGUGAAAACGCGAGAGAGGU